rnacentral:rRNA from 1 species
CGGGGUGGAGUAAUGUCUGGGAAACUGCCUGAUGAGGGGGAGUAACUACUGGAAACGGUAGCUAAUACCGCAUAACGUCGCAAGACCAAAUGGGGGACCUUCGGGCCUCAUGCCAUAAGAUGUGCCCAGAUGGGAUUAGCUAGUAGGUGGGGUAACGGCUCACCUAGGCGACGAUCCCUAGCUGGUCUGAGAGGAUGACCAGCCACACUGGAACUGAGACACGGUCCAG